GCCGCGUUGAAUAAGGAAGCUUGUGAGUUAAGAUUGCUACGCGCGGCUCUGUUGGGAGCCUACGGCACGGCGCAGCACGCCGGGCGACGAGCAGAAGCUUUAGAUCUCGUACGAGCUUAUAGUGCGAGGAUCGUGGCCGAAUCGAGUCCGGGCGCGUUCGAGGCGAUUCGGAGGGAAGAACGCGCCGGCGGCGUCGGCGUCAACGAAUUGGAGCCCUUGGGACGGAUGCUGCACGGCGUCGACGGCGCCUACGCGGCUCGGCAAGGGUCGGUCCAAGCGUGUUUGCAGUUGCUGAACGAGCUCAAUAGUCAUCGAUCCGAACGCUUGGCAGCUUUAUUAGGAGGCUUCCCGCCGAUCCACUGGUUCGUCCUGUCGCAGCUCGCCAUAUCUAUCUUAUUGG
rnacentral:ribozyme from 1 species